ACGCUCUGGUCUUCCUUCAGUUUCGUAUAAAUCUUUCGCCUUUUACUAAAGAUUUCCGUGGAGGAGGACAAUCUGAUGAGCCUAUAGCAAUUUUUCGAACGCCCUGCUUCAAGCGGGGCA